GAUGAACGCUGGCGGCGUGCCUAAUACAUGCAAGUCGAGCGAACGGACGAGAAGCUUGCUUCUCUGAUGUUAGCGGCGGACGGGUGAGUAACACGUGGAUAACCUACCUAUAAGACUGGGAUAACUUCGGGAAACCGGAGCUAAUACCGGAUAAUAUUUUGAACCGCAUGGUUCAAAAGUGAAAGACGGUCUUGCUGUCACUUAUAGAUGGAUCCGCGCUGCAUUAGCUAGUUGGUAAGGUAACGGCUUACCAAGGCAACGAUGCAUAGCCGACCUGAGAGGGUGAUCGGCCACACUGGAACUGAGACACGGUCCAGACUCCUACGGGAGGCAGCAGUAGGGAAUCUUCCGCAAUGGGCGAAAGCCUGACGGAGCAACGCCGCGUGAGUGAUGAAGGUCUUCGGAUCGUAAAACUCUGUUAUUAGGGAAGAACAUAUGUGUAAGUAACUGUGCACAUCUUGACGGUACCUAAUCAGAAAGCCACGGCUAACUACGUGCCAGCAGCCGCGGUAAUACGUAGGUGGCAAGCGUUAUCCGGAAUUAUUGGGCGUAAAGCGCGCGUAGGCGGUUUUUUAAGUCUGAUGUGAAAGCCCACGGCUCAACCGUGGAGGGUCAUUGGAAACUGGAAAACUUGAGUGCAGAAGAGGAAAGUGGAAUUCCAUGUGUAGCGGUGAAAUGCGCAGAGAUAUGGAGGAACACCAGUGGCGAAGGCGACUUUCUGGUCUGUAACUGACGCUGAUGUGCGAAAGCGUGGGGAUCAAACAGGAUUAGAUACCCUGGUAGUCCACGCCGUAAACGAUGAGUGCUAAGUGUUAGGGGGUUUCCGCCCCUUAGUGCUGCAGCUAACGCAUUAAGCACUCCGCCUGGGGAGUACGACCGCAAGGUUGAAACUCAAAGGAAUUGACGGGGACCCGCACAAGCGGUGGAGCAUGUGGUUUAAUUCGAAGCAACGCGAAGAACCUUACCAAAUCUUGACAUCCUUUGACAACUCUAGAGAUAGAGCUUUCCCCUUCGGGGGACAAGGUGACAGGUGGUGCAUGGUUGUCGUCAGCUCGUGUCGUGAGAUGUUGGGUUAAGUCCCGCAACGAGCGCAACCCUUAAGCUUAGUUGCCAUCAUUAAGUUGGGCACUCUAAGUUGACUGCCGGUGACAAACCGGAGGAAGGUGGGGAUGACGUCAAAUCAUCAUGCCCCUUAUGAUUUGGGCUACACACGUGCUACAAUGGACAAUACAAAGGGCAGCGAAACCGUGAGGUCAAGCAAAUCCCAUAAAGUUGUUCUCAGUUCGGAUUGUAGUCUGCAACUCGACUACAUGAAGCUGGAAUCGCUAGUAAUCGUAGAUCAGCAUGCUACGGUGAAUACGUUCCCGGGUCU
rnacentral:rRNA from 1 species